CGUAAAACUCUGUUGUUAGAGAAGAACAAGUGGGAGAGUAACUGUUCCCACCUUGACGGUAUCUAACCAGAAAGCCACGGCUAACUACGUGCCAGCAGCCGCGGUAAUACGUAGGUGGCAAGCGUUGUCCGGAUUUAUUGGGCGUAAAGCGAGCGCAGGCGGUUUCUUAAGUCUGAUGUGAAAGCCCUCGGCUCAACCGAGGAAGGUCAUUGGAAACUGGGGAACUUGAAUGCAGAAGAGGAGAGUGGAAUUCCAUGUGUAGCGGUGAAAUGCGUAGAUAUAUGGAGGAACACCAGUGGCGAAGGCGACUCUCUGGUCUGUAAUGACGCUGAGCUCG
rnacentral:rRNA from 1 species